GACGAACGCUGGCGGCGUGCUUAACACAUGCAAGUCGAGCGGUAAGGCCCUUUCGGGGGUACACGAGCGGCGAACGGGUGAGUAACACGUGGGUGACCUGCCCUCAGCUCUGGGAUAAGCCGUGGGAAACCGGGUCUAAUACCGGAUAUGACUCCAUGACGCAUGUUGUGGGGUGGAAAGCCUUGUGCGGCUGAGGAUGGGCCCGCGGCCUAUCAGCUUGUUGGUGGGGU
rnacentral:rRNA from 1 species